AUUUGAUGUUGAGGGAAUUUGAUACAUAACUUCUUGAAUCUCUCUCAGUAAUCAUAGAGCGACUUUCCUGAAUGUUGUUUGAUACCGCAUAUUUCCUUCCUCAAACU